CUAAUAUCGUAUAAAAGAGGUAAGUCCCUAAGACACUCCUAAGAGCAAAACUAUAAAGGGGUCACUGCCACUCCUUGCUAAUUCCUACUGUUUGCCAUGGGAAACCUGUUACCCCAUCAUCUUGCUUCGUAGCCAUUGUGUCACAAUGCUCAUAGUCAAGCAUGCACAUGAGCAAGAUCAUCAUGCAGGGACCAACCAAGUACUAGCGCAGCUUUCAGUCCAGUAUUGGAUAAUUUCUGCAAGAGAAGCAAUUAGAGAGUGGGAAAGAGAAUGCAUGCAGUGUAGAAGAAGGAAGGCUUCUCCAGCUAAGUAAAUCAUGGCCCCUUUGCCAGCGUUACCCACACGGAAGUCCCUUCGAGCAUUCAGCCACAUAUCUGUUGACUUUGGUGGACCUUUCAUGACCAAACAGGGGAGAGGAAAGACACGCCAGAAGAUACCUGUGUCUGUUUACUUGCCUAGAGACUAGGGCUUUGCAUCUUGAAUUAGCAUACAGCCUUGACACUGAUUCAUUCCUAAAUGCAUUCUUUUGAAUGACGUCACAAUGUGGUGUUCCCAAAGAUGUUGUUUGUGACAAUGGAACUAACUUUGUUGGUGGAAGUAAUGAGUUGAAAGAACUAGAAGCCUUAGACCAGAGCAAGAUCCAAGAUACAACAUCGAGCCACAGAAUCUGAAACCGAACCUUUUUCUUUUCAUAGUGUUUUUUCUGUUUGUGCAAUUUUGUUGAUAUUGUCUUAUCAAGGAAGGGGAGGAUGUUCUGCAGAAAGCCUUGUUGUAAAUUAGCAAUUCCCUGGGGUCCCCCUCCUAGUACGAGUUUUGCACACAUGCGCAGUAAGACCUGUUGUUCGACCACGAGGUUGCGAGUUGUCGGCCAUGUUGAAAAGUGUACACGUUUAUCUCCUCGGAAAUUAAAAUGUUGUAUGUUCUAAAGACUGAACCUUUUUGCUGACCUUCGAACCUGGGACAUACGGAACAGUGACCUUCCAUUGGGCUUGCUUCCAGUUCAAAAAAUUCUGAGAAAGCAUCACUGAGACAGGCAAUGUUUUACCAUGGAGUAGCCACAUGUAGUCACAAGAAAUUUUACUCAGCUUUUCACUCAACUUUUUGAGCAUUUUCGUGCACAUUUCAGGCUCCACUGAGCCAAUCACUCUGAUCUGAGUAUCAUUGGAAAGAUCUUUUCCUCCUGCAGAAGUUGAGCAUAGAUGAUGUCAAUUUUGGUCAAAGGUAAUGACGUCAGAAGUGGAACAAAGGCCAAGGCAUGUCAAGGCCGGUUACAGGCGGCACAGGAGUCAAUGGGUUAAGGUGCAAAUGAAGAUGGCAUGGAACCUUAAGGAUGGUGGCAUAACAGGAUUUACCGUGGCUGAAGAUGAAUUGCCUUUGUUACAUGAUGUGUUCUCAUCUGCCAUUCAGAGUGGUUGCCAAAGGGCUAGUUCUAUUGUCCAAUUUCUCUGGAGGGACCUGACUUCAGGUUAUGAUAUGAUUGGGUCCUAUUUUGACCCUGCUCAAAAUCCUAUGCAGGUUUCCAAGAGCAGUACUGCCUGUGUAUGAUGAUGCAGAAGAUUUGAGCAGAAAAUAUCUUGUAGAUGCCUUUUCCCAAUCCAGAGGAUCCACAUGACAAUCCAAUAUUUGCAAUGAUUUGCCAAAGUCAUCAGGUACUUUAGUGAUAUAUGGCAAAUUCAGAUUUUGUAGUAUGUAGUAGAUAUUUUAUCUUACGUAUACUCUGAAUUAGCUGAAUAGUAACAAGGUUAACUGUUUAGCUGCCUGAAGAGAAUUAAUUUGGUGUUAAUGUUGUUGCCUGUGAGGAAGGGCAAUUAUAUUCAGUAGCAUUGUGCUAUGCUCAAAAACAUGUUAUCCUCUUCUAUAUUAAGCAUGAGGGAUGGUCGAAGUAACAGAGGCCCCAUACCCCAGCCAUUCUUUCCAGCGAGGAAUUUUGUUUUAAGAGUAAGGUACUCUUUCUACAUGUCCAGUGUACAAUCUAUUCUGAGUCGUAUUACCCAGUCCUGAAGGCCUAGGCAUUGGAGAAGCACAUACAGCUUUUUUGAUUCUUCCAAAAGUGGCCUUGGUGAUCCACCUCUAUUACACCUGGUCAAUUGAAUGUAAAAAUGGCAGAGUACAUUUGAAAUUAAUUCUUGGUAUCUCACAGCUUUAAAACAUGACAGCUGCCCUGUACAGCUCAAGAAGCAGGGGUUCAAAGAGGCUCACUCUAGAUGGAACCAUGUUUGGAUGGAACGCGAUCAAAAUGAUCUACAGGCAAGAAAUGGAAUGAGCAGAGAGGGGUCUAAGCUGCAAAGUCCCUGGAUUGAAAUAUGCGUUUGUCUACCACGACAACUGGACAUGUCUCAAUGUGAGACCAGCUAAGAUCAUCCAGGAACAUUACAUGAUUGCAGCAAUUCAAGUCCUUACCAAAGAAACCAAUCAGGAGAGUGAUUGAUUUCAUGGAUGCUUGUCACCUCAUCUUUGGGAAAGGACUCCUGAGGAAACCCAGGGUAAACAGUUUGAACAGCCCUGUUCUCCAUAACAUCAAGAAAGGAAUGGCUUUCUUUGAAAAAUGGUGUCAUAAACAUGAAAAAAGGUACAGCUUUGUCAUAUCUAGCAUGUUAUCUUCAAAGCAACAGAGUUUUCAAACUGAAGUUCAGUUAUAAAUUUACAGACUAUUGUCUUGAGGAGUCUAGUGUAUACAGCCUUCACUGCAUGUUGCCUUCAUAAGGAUCAUAACAUAACUUCAAGCAUUAGAGAGAUGUCUCUAAGUUCUCAGUUUAACAGUUUUAAGCUACAUUUACAAGGGUGGAUGAUUCUGCAUUGUAAAAAAUCACGCCAAGAAAUAGACACUUCAAUAAGUAAGUUACACUUUGUUGUUAUGUCCACAGAAUAUCCUGACAACACCAGGAAAUCGAGACAGAAAAAGUUUCUCGCAUGGCAGGUUAGUCGGGGAGGGAUGUCACAAUUUUUAAAUAGUCUUAAACAGUGUUCAAUUUUGUUGCUGUCACAAUAACCAAGGAAAGUUGUGGGUUGCUGUCAGGGCCCAAAGACAUCAAUAGCAAUAAAUAUCCUAACUUCUGGUUGAUGUUCUAAGUCCUGCACAGUAAAUUUAUGUGACUACAAAUUUAUGUGGCUACUCUGACUAUAAGCAACUUUCAGUAGUCAUAUUUCAAGAAUUUCAGCAAAUGGACCCUUAAAACGCUAGAUAUAGUCUGGUAAGGAACUCUGAGUGGAGUUUUCAUAUUGAAUCAAUAAAGAGGCUUACAAUAAUAAAUUAAUGCCAAUAAAUAAAUGUGGAAUCCAGAAUAGGAUAAUACCAAUGAGGUGGUUCUCUUCUUCUCUCAGUUGCCCCCUUUGAAGCUAAUCAAAAUUGUCAAUGAGAUCUCCGUUCACAGCACAACGUUCUACAGUAAAUAGCUGUCACACAGUGUUGACUUAUUGUUUCAUAGUUACUAAAAUUAGGUUUAAUUAGUUGGCUGUGAAUCCCAUUGGUACAUAGGAGGAUGGUUAACAUUAUUGAUUGAUGAUGUAAGCAAUUAAAGGAGUUUUGCUACAAGAGACUUAUCAAGAUUAAAAAAAAAACUGGAUCCAACUGACAGGGCAACAUGCUAACAUCUGCAUCUUAUUCUAAUUUCAACUUUGUAACUAUUUCAUAGUUGUUGUGUUUCUUUUUUGAAGCUUUUUCUUCAUACAAAUUUAACCCAUCCCUUUUCGAACGUAGCAUAUUCAGGAAUGACGAUGUAUAUCAAGUUAGAGUGUAUGUAUAGGACCAAAGUAAUAAUAAUAGGACCUAAGUGCUUCAAGUGGUACCACCGGUUUUAAACAAAAUCUUUUUCCUCAUCCAGGCCUGAGAAUAACCUUUGCAUAGUGGUUUAUUUAGUCCAAAUUAAUUUCAGGCACUGCAUAAGAUGUAAUAGACACAAGGUGUGACCAAUCUCUAUGGGUAUUCACCAAUGGCAACUGGAAAUUAAGCCAUUGCAUAGAUAAAUAUAAAACCAAUUUUACACCAUUAGCUGACAAGAAGUCUGAAUAUUUUUUAAUUUUAUCUUUAAGGUGAUAAAAAUUUUUAUAAGGACAAAUGGCAAACAUUGUUGAUACAUUCUUUGUUACGACUAUGUUUUUUCAUUUGUUGUUUAUUUUGCCUUUUUACUUAAUAUACAGUAUUGAUAAAUAUUUUAAUGUGAGGCAAGGUGACCUCUAGAAACCGUCAAGCUUUCAGUUGAUGCCACCUCGUAAGUAAGAAUACAGCUACAUAAAUAGUGCAACAGUGUGCGCCUUUGCCAGUUCAGUAAUUAUUUUACCCAAAACUCUAGCAGUUUUUUCUUAAAAUUGGGAAUACUUGACAGUGGUGGUCUGUUACUUGCAAAGUAAGAGCAGUUGUGUCUUCGGUAGCUCCCUGAUCAGAUUGAACUUAAGUAGCUUUUAAUAUGCCUAAUGCCACUGUAACAUCAUCGAAAAGGGAAAAUGACAGCCUAAAAGCAGAAAUCACUACCCUUACACAUGGAUUUGAAAAUCUGCAGUAAACUCUCACACAUAACGAUGCACAGGAAUCUGGCAAUGGUGGUGAAGCAAGUUGCUCCAUCACGAAAGACGAAGCAAUGAACACUCUUCAAUUCUAUGGAAAAGCUUACAACAAUCUCCACUUGUGGUCACAUUCAAAUGCUCUAACUUCUUGAGUAGAUGAUAUCAGAAAUACAAUCGAUGAAAUUCAGCAUUACAGCUACCAGUACAAUGUCAAGGUAGUUGGUCUCCCUGAAAUGGACCCGCAAGAAUCGGCAUUCGCCACUACGUCUUUAUGCAUAAGCCUCCUAAAAGCUUCAGGAGUGGAUAUAAAUAACCAAGAUGUCAACAUUGUGCAUUGUGUCCCGACUAGACAAGCUACUGCUGGCCCAAGACUGGUUAUCUGCAAUUUACUCGAAGAAUUGUUAAAGAUGUUAGUGCAACACAUGUAAUUGGAAAAGUUACAAGCAAUAACAAUGAUUGAACUGGGGCCCACUUUACCUAUUCACAGAAUUCUGAAAGGAAAUAACUCCAAAAUAACAAUAACUUGCGUUUUGUCACCAAAGCAAAAGCUUUAAGAGAUGGUCCAAGCAUUUCAUCGGCAUUCACCACUUCCCUUGGUUAUUCCAUUCUAGCAUUCAUAAAUUCAUUUAUCCUGGUGUUUGCCAGUUUUGAUACCAGUGCAUGGUAAAGAGCAUUACAGUCAAAACAGCUCAAGCAUUCCUGCCAAGGGUGAAUGAAUGAGUUCAUUAUUGGAAAUUUGAUUUCAUUACUUGUUUUAAUAGUCCAUUCUUCAAGUGAAGAGUAGAAAAUUCAAGACUCGAUCCAAUACUCGAAUUUUAACUAGAUUAAUGAACAAUAUGCUUAAACCAUAUUUGGACUGCUAAGAACCAGGAACUUCUCCCGUAGUGGCGGGAAAGAUAUCAAAGAUGGUUGACAUCGAAGCAAGUUUUAUGGAUGGGGCAGAAAAGGUAGGUUUACAUCAAGAUACCUAACUAUUUUUAGGACAGAAAAAUUGUAUUACUGGACUUCAAUGGAAUUAAAAAAGUUGCUGAUAUCAAAGAGGCGACAGAGAAAAUACAACUUAUUGAAUCCGUUUUCGGAACAACCUUAGACCAACAUUCCAUGGUUUCCCUUCAAAGAUUCGAUGUCGAAUGGGGGAAGUUGACGUGGAAAUAAAAGAGGUCAAGAACAGAGGCAAGCUGAAAGUAAAAAUUGUCAAAAACAAUCUUCACACCAGAAAGCUCCCAACACAGCUACAAACAAGCACACAGGCAGUUGAUAGAAUGACAAAAAAAUGAGAAGGGCACAGAAGCACUCUGCAAUACCACUUUGAGAUAGCUCAGCCAACCCUGUCAUCUUUCAGGGAAAACCCAAGACAAAGAGAGCCAUUAGGCCAAAACAUAGCUUUUACAAGUAGUAACUGUCACUAUAGAGGCCAGAGUCAACACUUGUCACCAGCUACCUUGUCAAGGUUUCUUUGACUGUGGGAUGACCGCCUUGCACAAAGAGCACUGAGAGCAAAUUAAAAAGGUACAAAACUUAUUUCCUUUCUCAACCAGUUAAGGCAAAAGGGAAGAAUAGGGAAUGCCUAUUUAUUACACAGUCCUUAAGCAGAACAAGCGCACAUUAAUCAGUUUUAAAUAUAAUUUGCUUGUUCCUAUCAGAACAGG
rnacentral:lncRNA from 1 species